AUUUUUAUGUGCUAUGGAGGAUAUGGCUAACUAGUAGAUUUCACUGAUUGACAAGUAAUGAGAUUGCUUGCAUCGGACAAUGAAGAUUUAAUUGAAACAAUGGAUCUUGCAAGCAAAUUUGAUUAACAUAAAGAGGAGGAGGGCACAGCACAAUUUUUCCCACAAGAAACCCUCAAGGUACAUCAGGCAUAUCUGUUCAUCCCAAAAUUAAAAGAUUCAUGUUUUUGCUGCGAUUAUCUGUGACAUGAGGAGACAAGUCGCACCUAGUCAUUCACAUCAUUUCACACAGCAAUGUUGGCUGAAAAUAGACGGAGAUGGAGGAACCAAAGAGGUUCUUGGAGGCAAGUUAUCAAAGGAUCAGGACAGUGAAGAUCCAAGAUGUCGUUACCAGAACAGGUGGUGGUGUCAUCUGGGUCCCUAUGUACUCCAGUUGAAUCCCAAAUGCCACCUGAGAUGACCGUUACUAUCUUUGAUACCAUCUAAGAGUGUCAAACAAGGGGGAUUUUCCUUCUAUAAUUGGACUUUAACAACACUGAAGCAGCAACAGGAACUCCAACCCAUCUCGGGUAACUUCUCUCUUCUGCAAAAGGACAAUUAUUGCUAUUUGUGCUGCCAUCUUAGAGACUGUCGAACAAUGGGAGUUUUUUUUAAAAGGAAAAAAAUAUCUCCAGCAAAAGCGAAAGUGAACAAAGGAAGUUGUUAAAAUGAAAGCCUUACUUAAUACCUUGCAUUUCAACUGCUUUGCCUGUUUUUCCUCCUUUUCUGUAUCUUUAAUAAAGAUUAAAACAUCUUUAAUUAUGUGUUUACCAUGGAGAUAAGCUGGCUGGGGUCUCUGGAUACCAAGCCCCAGACCUUACUUAACACUGCUUAAUAUAAUUCCGUGACUGUGUCACAUUAACACCUUUAGCCCAUAUAUUCCAUCUAAAUUAAUACAGCAGACGCAACUUUUUUUUGUUGCUAGCCCGGCUAAUAGUGUCAAGGCUCGCUUGGCUUAAUAAGCCCUAUGGGGAAAAAUACAGUUCCUCAUAAAAAUUGGUCCACAAAUAGAAAAAGCAAUUUUAUGUAGGUAGGUUGUGACAUUUGAUGUAUCUUUGAAUUCAAUCUGUAAGUCUUUUGAGGAAAUCUUAUCUGUUACCCAGCAUAGAGUGCUUAAUGGAUUAUAUAAAUAAAUAUGUAACACUAUUUGUGGGACUGAAGGUUUAAUUUUUAUAUGUUCAGAAGUCCCAUGGUGGAGAUGGGAAGUACUCCUA